ACGAAGGGAUCUAGCGUUGUUCGGAUUUACUGGGCGUAAAGGGCGCGUAGGCGGUUAUGUAAGUAAGAUGUGAAAGCCCUGGGCUUAACCCGGGAACUGCAUUUUAAACUGCAUAGCUUGAGUGUUGGAGAGGUAAGUAGAAUUCCCAGUGUAGAGGUGAAAUUCGUAGAUAUUGGGAAGAAUACCAGUGGCGAAGGCGACUUACUGGACAACAACUGACGCUGAGGCGCGAAAGCGUGGGGAGCAAACAGGAUUAGAUACCCUGGUAGUCCACGCCGUAAACGAUGUGUGCUAGACGCUGGAAAGUUUACUUUUCGGUGUCGCCGCUAACGCAAUAAGCACACCGCCUGGGGAGUACGGCCGCAAGGUUG
rnacentral:rRNA from 1 species